AUCAUACGUGUAAAAUAUUUACUAAAAGACAAAUGGGGGUCACGGGGCAAUUUUUUUCAAGGUAUUCAAAUUGAUAAAACCCAAGGAUUCCUAAAUCUGACAAAAAGUCCAAAACAUGACAAGCUAGCUUCCUUAAAAUGGUGUUUAUCAUACCUUCUCCUUUAAUUUUUGUCAUAAAUAUGUUUUAUAAGAUGAUUUGCAUCUUAUUGAAUGUUUCUGUACAUUUCAC
rnacentral:lncRNA from 1 species